ACCAUUGGACUCAGGACACACCCACUGGACCCCCAAACCCAGGCAAUAUUCCAACACCUUAUCAAGCACAUUACCGCCUCCCACCCCUCUCCCACAAAAAGCUCCUAACCCAACCCAGCAGAGUGACUUCAUGGACCUCCAACUACCUUAGUGACAUUGGGAAGGAAGCUAUGCCCAGAGCAAAGUAGAAAUGAAAUCUGCCCGUAUAUAAAGGGAUGAGUUAACCUCAGAAGACACUGGCUCAGUAGAAAAUAGGACAGCCCAUGGGGACCAUCUGACAAGAAAUAAGUAAGUGGCCAGGGAGACUGUAUUUGGAUUGAAUCCAAUAUGGGGAAUGUAGAUCAUUGUCCUUCCUUCUCCUCUACGUUCUGUCCUGGACAGACUUAGAAGGUGUCUAUCCUAAAGAAAAAAGCAACUGAAAUACUCACUAGUGGACACAUGGAAUCUGCCCUGUGACCUGCGUGUGUGCCACUGAUUGCACUCCGUUCUUGUUCCCUUCCCUGACAGCGUCCCGACACGAGGCCAAACCUCACUGGGAGCUGUUUAUACAUGUAGUGACACUGGGAGAAAACUGUAACUAACAGAGCUCGUCAGGCCCUCGCGCGAGACGACUCUCCUCUGCCAGAGAUGUGAGAUCCUGUGCCCAGUGCAGACGUGGCUGACCUGAGGAAGGCUGACCCAAGAUGGAACAGACGUGGCAAGUCUGGACCUGUACACCCGGAGAGGUACUCCUGCUUCCAUUUGGAAGACAGAAUGAAUAUUGCUUGUAAUCUUACUGUGUGAAUAAAUGAGUGUUAUACCAA